GUCCUUUUGAAUUUUAUUUAAGGUCUAGUCUGCCCACUGAAUUUAAUUUUUUAAAUGGCCGCAGUAUUUUGACUGUGCAAAGGUAGCAUAAUCAUUAGUUUUUUAAUUAAAAGCUUGUAUGAAAGGCUGGACGAGGUAAGAUCUGUCUCUAUUUAAAUUAUAGUAGAAUUUAACUUUUAAGUUAAAAGGCUUAAAUAUUAUUAAAAGACGAGAAGACCCUAUAGAUCUUUAUAAUUUAUUGGAUAAAAUUAAUUUAGAAUUAUUUAUGUUUUAUUUAUUAAAUUAUUUUAUUGGGGUAAUAGAAAGAUUGAAUUAAUUCUUUUUUAUUAUAGACAUUGAUUUAUGAAUUUAAAUGAUCCAGUUUUACUGAUUAUAAGAUUAAGUUACCUUAGGGAUAACAGCGUAAUUUUUUUAGAGAGUUCAUAUCGAUAAAAAAGUUUGCGACCUCGAUGUUGGAUUAAAGAUUAUUUUAGGUGCAGAAGCUUAAUAAUUUUGGUCUGUUCGACCAUUAAAUCUUUAC
rnacentral:rRNA from 1 species